GGUCAAGUGAAGAAGGGCAUACGGUGGAUGCCUUGGCAGUCAGAGGCGAUGAAAGACGUGGUAGCCUAUGAUAAGUUUCAGAGCUGGCAACAGAUCCGUAUCCAGAGACUUCGAAAUUGGGAACCUAGCCAGUAUAAGCUGGUUAUCUUGUACUGAAUAUAGGUGCAAGAGGCGAACCAGGUGAACUGAAACAUCUAAGUACCCGAGGAAAGAAAUCAAACUGAGAUUCCCUUAGUAGUGGCGAGCGAACGGGGACCAGCCCUUGCUGGUUUGAGAUUAUGAACGCUCUGAAAGUGCACAUAGGCAUAGCCCCGUACACGAAAAUCUCUUGCCAGUGAAAUCGAGUAGGACGGAGCACGAGAAACUUGUCUGAACAUGGGGGACCAUCCUCCAAGGCUAAAUACUACUGACUGACCGAUAGAAGUGAACCAGUACCGUGAGGGAAAGGCGAAAAGAACCCGGAGAGGGGAGGAAUAGAACCUGAAACCGUAUGCGUACAAGCAGUGGGAGCUCACUUGUUAGGUGACUGCGUACCUUGUAUAAUGGGUCAGCGACUUCUAUAUUCAGUGGCGAGCUUAACCGAAUAGGGAUGUAGCGAAAGCGAGUCUUAUUAGGGCGCUUUAGUCGCUGGGUAUAGACCGAAACCAACAUUCAUCCAUGGGCAGGUUGAAGGUUAGGUAACACUGACUGGAGGACCGAACCGACUAAUGUUGAAAAAGGCGGAUGACCUGUGGAUCGGAGGAAAGGUUAAUCAAGCUCGAGAUAGCUGGUUCUCCUCGAAAGUUAUUUAGGUAGCGCCUCAUGUAUCACUGUAGGGGUAGAGCACUGUUUCGGCUAGGGUCAUCCCGACUUACCAAACUGAUGCAAAACCUUUAAAUACCUACAAGUGCUAAGUAUGGGAGACAUACGGCGGGUGCCAACGUCCGUCGUGAAAAGGGAACAAACUCCAGACCGUCAGCUAAGGUCCCAAAGUCAUGGUUAAGGGGAACGAUGUGGGAAGGCUUAGACACAGCUAGGAGGUUACUUAGAAGCAGCCAAAUUCCUUAAAGAAAGCGUAAUAGCUCACUAGUCGAGUCGGCCUGCGCGAAGUAUGCACGGGGCUCAAAAACCAUGCACCGAAGCUACGGGUAUCACCUCUGCAUGCGGUAGAGGAGCGUUCUGUGCUCGUGAAGGGUGAGUUGAGAAGCUUGCUGGAGGCAUCAGAAGUGGCGAAUGCCAUUACGAGUAACGACAAUGCGAGUGAAAAACCCCGCACGCCGAAAGACUGCUUCGCGCAACGUUAAUCGACGCAGUGCACGGUCCCUAAGGCGAGGCUGAAAAGGUAGUUUACGGAAACAGGUUAAUAUUCCUGUACUUCCAGUUAUUGCGAUGGAGGGAUUUUAUAAUGGCCAGGCCAGCUUGGCGUUGGUUGUCCAAGUUUAAGGUGGUAGGCUGAGAUCUGUGGCAAAUCCGGGAUCUUAAGGCCGAGAGCUGAUGACGAGCGUUUUAGAGCGCGAAGUGUUGAUGCCAUGCUUCCAAGAAAGCUCCUGCUUCAGAUGUGGGAACUGGGAACCUACCCCAAACCGACACAGGUUAGGUAGAGAAUACCAAGGCUUGAGAGAACUCGGUGAAGGAACUAGGCAAAAUGGCACCGUAACUUCGGGAGAAGGUGCGCCGGUGAGGGUGAAGCACUUGCUGCGUGCCCACGCCGGUCGAAGAUACCACAGGCCGCUGCGACUGUUUAUUAAAAACACAGCACUCUGCAAACACGAAAGUGGACGUAUAGGUGUGACGCCUGCCCGGUGCCGGAAGGUUAAUUGAUGGGGUUAGCGCAAGCGAAGGCUCUUGAUCGAAGCCCUGGUAAACGGCGGCCGUAACUAUAACGGUCCUAAGGUAGCGAAAUUCCUGUCGGGCAAGUUCCGACCCGCACGAAUGGCGUAACGAUGGCGGCGCUGUCUCCACCUCGAGACUCAGUGAAAUUGAAACGCUGUGAAGAUGCAGUGUAUCCGCGGCUAGACGGAAAGACCCCGUGAACCUUACUAUAGCUUUGCACUGACUUUGAGCUUGCUUGUGUAGGAUAGGUGGGAGGCUGAAGUGGGACGCCAGUUCUCAUGGAGCUAUCCUUGAAAUACCACCCUGGCAACCUUGAGGUUCUAACUCAGGUCCGUUAAUCCUGAUCGAGGACAGUGUAUGGUAGCUGACUGGGGCGGUCUCCCAAAGAGUAACGGAGGAGUACGAAGGUGCGCUCCAGACCGGUCGGAAAUCGGUCAGAGUAUAAAGGCAAAAGCGCGCUUGACUGCGAGACACAGUCGAGCAGGUACGAAAGUAGGUCUUAGUGAUCCGGGUGGUUCUGUAUGGAAGGGGCCAUCGCUCAACGGAUAAAGGUACCCGGGGAUAACAGGCCGAUACCGCCCAAGAGUUCAUAUCGACGGCGGUGUUUGGCACUGAUGUCGGCUCAUCACAUCCUGGGGCUGAAGCCGGUCCCAAGGGUAUGGCUGUUCGCCAUUUAAAGUGGUACGCGAGCUGGGUUUAGAAACGUCGAGACAGUUCGGUCCCUAUCUGCCGUGGACGUUUGAGAUUUGAGAGGGGCUGCUCCUAGUACGAGAGUGACCGGAGGGACGAACCUCUGGUGUUCCGGUUGUCACGCCAUGGCAUUGCCGGUAGCUAUGUUCGGAAAGAGAUAACCGCUGAAAGCAUCUAAGGGAAACUUGCCUCAAGAUGAGAUCUCCACACUGAGCCUUGAGCUCCCUGAAGGGCCGUCGAAGACUACGACGUUGAUAGGUUGCGUGUAAGCGCUGUGAGGCGUUGAGCUAACCAAUACUAAUUGCCCGUGAGGCUUGACCAU
rnacentral:rRNA from 1 species